rnacentral:rRNA from 1 species
UGCCUUACACAUGCAAGUCGAACGGCAGCACGGGGGCAACCCUGGUGGCGAGUGGCGAACGGGUGAGUAAUACAUCGGAACGUGCCCUGAAGUGGGGGAUAACGUAGCGAAAGUUACGCUAAUACCGCAUAUUCUGUGAGCAGGAAAGCAGGGGAUCGCAAGACCUUGUGCUUUAGGAGCGGCCGAUGUCGGAUUAGCUAGUUGGUGAGGUAAAGGCUCACCAAGGCGACGAUCCGUAGCGGGUCUGAGAGGAUGAUCCGCCACACUGGGACUGAGACACGGCCCAGACUCCUACGGGAGGCAGCAGUGGGGAAUUUUGGACAAUGGGCGCAAGCCUGAUCCAGCCAUGCCGCGUGAGUGAAGAAGGCCUUCGGGUUGUAAAGCUCUUUCGGCGGGGAAGAAAUUGCUUCGGCUAAUAUCCGGAGUAGAUGACGGUACCCGCAUAAGAAGCACCGGCUAACUACGUGCCAGCAGCCGCGGUAAUACGUAGGGUGCGAGCGUUAAUCGGAAUUACUGGGCGUAAAGCGUGCGCAGGCGGUUGU